AAGGCCGCCGAAAUUGUCAAUUUUUUUGUGUGACUUUUGGUCGCUUUUUGUCGAACUACCAUUAUGAAGAAUUUACUCCAUAAAUUGUAAAGUAUACCUUAAAUAUAUGUUUACCAUCGAAGAGUAAUAUGAUAGCCCCUACUGUUACUGUAAUACCGGUGCAAAAAUUCCAGAUAUAACUUGUUUGACGACAGUUUGAAAUAAAAAAAGCGUCUUACUUUUGUGUUACAUUUUUUUUUGUGUGACGAAUUUAUACACCCAUUGUUUCGAUUAAAACUACCAAAUAGCAAAACAAAGUAUUAAUAUGGCAUCACUGUUACCGACAUAUAAAUGUAAAAAAGGCAGCCAUGUUAUUUUGUCACAGGAGGCAUUUUGAAAGUCCGUUACAUAACUUGCUAUGAUUGAAAAAAAAAUUAAAUUGUGAUUUUGAAGCCAAAUCCCUGAUGCGCUUCAGUUGUAACAGCUGUAAGGAAUCCGAUUUCUCCUGUCUUUCAAAUCACUUAAAAGCUAUUUCUAGAGCUUCAAAAGCUUCUGCGUAAGAUGUUCCUUGACAUUCAUCCUCAGUGUCAGUCUCUUCUUUGAGAUGAGAGCGGGAGUAAACAUUCGGAGGCGCGUUUAAACUUGUCGCCACAUGUCUAGUAGCGCGUUACUGGAGCCGUGACGCGAGUCCGGAUAAUCGGAAUUUCGGAUAAUCGGGAUUCUACAAGUUUUCCCUGCUAGUAGAAGUGGUAUGUGCAGUACAACAGAAAGUUAGUUGUAUUCAUAAUAUUUUUGAAAUUAAAAAUAUUGGUAAAUUACAAAAGUCUUUUAUUCAAACCCUUUUUCAUUACCUAUAUCUGCUUUGUGUUGUUUUGUAUGUUUUACUCUUAUGGUGCAAUAAAGAGUUUUAUCUAUCUAUCUACUUCAUUUUUACUACAGUUACUUAUAUUCGUUAAGGUUAUUUUAGUCACCAAUCUGAAACGAA